GACAGAGGGUGCAAACGUUGUUCGGAAUUACUGGGCGUAAAGGGCGCGUAGGCGGAUGUUUAAGUCAGCGGUGAAAGCCCAGGGCUCAACCUUGGAACUGCCAUUGAUACUGGACAUCUUGAGUACGGGAGAGGUGAGUGGAACUCCGAGUGUAGAGGUGAAAUUCGUAGAUAUUCGGAAGAACACCAGUGGCGAAGGCGACUCACUGGCCCGUUACUGACGCUGAGGCGCGAAAGCGUGGGGAGCAAACAGG
rnacentral:rRNA from 1 species